rnacentral:rRNA from 1 species
AGUGAACGCUGGCGGUAGGCCUAACACAUGCAAGUCGAACGGCAGCACAGUAAGAGCUUGCUCUUACGGGUGGCGAGUGGCGGACGGGUGAGGAAUACAUCGGAAUCUACUUUUUCGUGGGGGAUAACGUAGGGAAACUUACGCUAAUACCGCAUACGACCUACGGGUGAAAGCAGGGGAUCUUCGGACCUUGCGCGAUUGAAUGAGCCGAUGUCGGAUUAGCUAGUUGGCGGGGUAAAGGCCCACCAAGGCGACGAUCCGUAGCUGGUCUGAGAGGAUGAUCAGCCACACUGGAACUGAGACACGGUCCAGACUCCUACGGGAGGCAGCAGUGGGGAAUAUUGGACAAUGGGCGAAAGCCUGAUCCAGCCAUACCGCGUGGGUGAAGAAGGUCUUCGGGUUGUAAAGCCCUUUUAUUGGGAAAAAAAAACAGCGGGUGAAUACCCCGCUGUUCUGACGGUACCCAAAGAAUAAGCACCGGCUAACUUCGUG